AGAGGAGGGCGAAGAGAAGAAUGCGACAGAAGAAGGGUCUUCCUAGUGCUCCAAAUAUUCACUACCAAAGAUGCCCCUUCGGGUAAUCCCAUCCUGUUUACCCAACUUCUUAAUGGUGCUCAU
rnacentral:sRNA from 1 species